rnacentral:lncRNA from 1 species
UUUUAAUCUUUAUAUUAUUUCUAAUAAAUUAGAAUUUGGACCUAAUACUAUACUAUCAUUUAAUUAAAGAGCAAACUUCAAAUACCACCCCUAUGGUUCAUACUUUCUCAUUUUAGUACCGGUUAAAGUAUAUUACUUUAGUAUCUUAUAAUUUUAUUUUUAUCUUUCCAAUCAGCAACUCCAUUAAUUCUCCAUUAAAUAUAUACAAAAAAUUUCAGAUACCCCACGAGUUAUUUAUUGAAUAUUUACUUUAGUACCCUAUAGUUUACCAAAUUUUUACUUUAGAAUUCUGUAGUUUUAACUUUGUCACUGAUUUAACAAAAAAAUUUAUCGGAGGAGAUAACAAAAGGGAAAAAAUAAAAUCACAUAGUAUUAAAGUGAUACAUUUAAAUUAAAUUACGGGAUACUAAAGUGGAAAAGCAU